rfam:Drosophila ficusphila unplaced genomic scaffold scf7180000454106, whole genome shotgun sequence
CCGUUCUUGUGUUAUUUGCUAAGCGAUUACUCAAGCUCAGCGAUUGUCAAACAGAACGAAUAGAAAAGGCAGCUAAUCACUCCAUAAUGUUGAGCCGACUUUCCAGGGCUUCAGCAUUACUAAAUGCGCGCCACAUUU